GAAAACACAAAAAAUCUACUUGCUGCUUUGUAAAGACAUGCUCGAGAAGACUUUGUUUAAAACUUUAAUUAUCCAGCUGAUUUUCUUAAACUAUAUUUUUGAUUUUGUACUUGCUGGGAAAAGGAGAGUUUGUAAGAGUUUGAACUUGUUCGGAUUGAACGGAAUAGGAGAUAAACCAUUAAUUUUUGAGCUGCACCAACAACAAUUUGAGUCUGCUUCAAGAACCGGUUUCA